rnacentral:lncRNA from 1 species
AGAUUGGAACUGUCCAAUGGUGGAAAGAGAAGUCUGAAUCUUGGCCCACCUCCUUCUUGGGGUCAUCUUCCUCCUAGAGAUGAUUACUGCAGGAUUCCCCCAGAUCAGAGCAGAUCCCCAAGAAGGAGAAGCUUUUCCUGAAGCCAUAGCAGGUCAUUUUCUAGAGAUAAGAGACGAGAAAGCUCUCUGUCUGGUGAGAAAAUUCACAAGCUGUCUCUAUCCUUCUCUAGGUUUCAUAGUCUAUCUUGGUCAAAUUAAAGGAAA